UACGGAGGGGGCUAGCGUUGUUCGGAAUUACUGGGCGUAAAGCGCACGUAGGCGGACCAGCAAGUUGGGGGUGAAAUCCCGGGGCUCAACCCCGGAACUGCCUUCAAAACUGCGGGUCUGGAGGUCGAGAGAGGUGAGUGGAAUUCCGAGUGUAGAGGUGAAAUUCGUAGAUAUUCGGAGGAACACCAGUGGCGAAGGCGGCGCACUGGACCAUAACUGACGCUGAUGCGCGAAAGCUAGGGGAGCAAACAGGG
rnacentral:rRNA from 1 species